UUGUAGUGAAUCUUGGGUCAUUGUGCAUUACAGAUAAAUAUAAUAAAUAAAUCAAGAUAUUCAUGCCAUAUGCAAAUUGCUAUUGCAUCUUGAUAGUUCUGAAUCAUAUAUUUUGGACUGUCAGUAAAAUUUAAUGAUAAUAUGAUUUUUUUUCUAGUUAUAUUUCCAUCAACAUCACCAUGAAUCACUACAUCUUUAAUUCCUUGAUAAAUUUUUAAUCAUAAAACUUUCUGAUUUCUUCUGAUAUAAUUCAAUCUCUCUUCUUCGAUAUAUGAGAAUGCUCCAGCU
rnacentral:lncRNA from 1 species